AAUAGAUACCCAGGUAGUCCACGCUGUAAACGAUGUCAACUAGCUGUUGGUUAUAUGAAAAUAAUUAGUGGCGCAGCAAACGCGAUAAGUUGACCGCCUGGGGAGUACGGUCGCAAGAUUAAAACUCAAAGGAAUUGACGGGGGGCCCGCACAAGCGGUGGAGCAUGUGGUUUAAUUCGAUGCAACGCGAAGAACCUUACCUACCCUUGACAUACAGUGAAGCUUGUAGAGAUACGAGCGUGCCUUCGGGAGCACUGAUACAGGUGCUGCAUGGCUGUCGUCAGCUCGUGUCGUGAGAUGUUGGGUUAAGUCCCGUAACGAGCGCAACCCUUAUUCUUAGUUGCCAGCGCGUAGAGGCGGGAACUCUAAGGAGACUGCCGGUGACAAACCGGAGGAAGGCGGGGACGACGUCAAGUCAUCAUGGCCCUUACGGGUAGGGCUACACACGUGCUACAAUGGCGGAUACAGAGGGCAGCGAAGGGGUCGACCUGGAGCGAAUCUUAUAAACGUCUGUCGUAGUCCGGAUUGGAGU
rnacentral:rRNA from 1 species